CGGGAGAAUAGAGAUUAUUUUAAUAGCACGUACAUUAAAAUUAUACUAAUACUAGUAAAAUCGAAGAAGGAAAAUCCCCCCAAAAUCAAGGAAAAUCAGAGAAAUCAUCCACAAUUCCACCUCAAUGCCGAUCGGGAGGUAAUCUGCGACGAGCACGGCAUCAACUGCGGCGACUCAAGGAGGCGGGGAAUUGUGACUGAUUGCAAGUUUCAGGAAGAGUCCGAGUUGCUGUAAGAUUGCGACCUCAGAAUACCAAAGAGUUGCUGCCAAACCUGUUGUUGAGGUGAGCUUGGCAGAGCUUUAUUACUAUUUAACAUAUCGAGCAUUUCAUACUGAAGCAAGUUUGUUGUGCUAAUACGGCUCAGUGUGUUAGGUGUUCCUGGAUAUUAACAGAUUACAGAAAAGCGCAAAUGUAUAGGCUUAUUUUUAUGUCCGCAUUUGGCUCAUGUUUAAAAUUUCCAUCAUCAGACUGAAAGAGUAUGCUAAGUAAUGGAAUACUUUUCUUGUACACAGAAGCUGUUUUGAACUCUCUCUUGAUUAUAGAUUCUAUGCUGUUUCUUUUCUUUCCCAGAGUGUUGUACAGGGUUAUAAUGGGACAGUGAUGACUUAUGGUUAAACCGGAACCGUGAAGACUUAUACUAUAGGACGAUGAGACGAUGAAGGUACCUCUGCUCGGGGUAUAAUGGUUCGUGCGAUGGAGGAUAUUCUUGCAAAUAUCUCACCUGAGACUGAUUCUGUCUCAGUUUCAUUCUUGCAGGUUGAACAGGCUACUUGCAUGCUUGUAUAUUGGUUCCAUCAUUAUGGAUAUCUUUCUUUGUCCGAUUGAGUUAUUCCUCGAAGAUCUUUAUAUUCUGAAGUGCUAUUCUUAUAUAGAAUUAGUUUUUUCUGUAACUUUAUAUAGAAUACAUCCAGGAUCUGUUGAACCCAACAAAUGAUGAUAUAUCAAUUGUUGAGGACCAGAAAACUGGUGAUGUUUCUUUGCCAGGGGCGACAGUCUGGGAGAUCAGAGACCAGCAAAGUUCAUGCAACUCUUACUCUUUGGUGAAGCACAUAGGUUUGUUGCCAACACUAAACUUAACACUGAAUCUUCUCGGAGUCCUGCCCUUCUGAUGGUACUUGUGAACAGGUCUGUAGUGGAAAGGGCUGAAUUUUCUCUUGAUGCUCAAAAUCGCUCCAAUUGAUAAUUUGAGGCCUGCUAUGCUACGUAAAGGCAGACUGAUCGUGGAAGCAAGGGACAUAUGCUAGAAGAAGCCAAGUCUAUAUAUCUUUCACUUGGUGCUUUAGGGAAAUGUAUAAAUCCCUUGGCAGAAAACAGUCCCCACGUCCCAGUUUGAGAUUCAAAGCUUACAAGGCUAGUUAAAGAUUCAUCUGGAGGGACAUCCAGAACAUCAUUAGUAAUCACAAUCGGUCCUUCUCUACAUCUCGAACAGAGACUUCAAGUACCAUAAUGUUUGGCAAGGGAGGAGAAAACCAAAUGUCAGAUGGAUUAUAUGGACUCAACUAAGAAGCUUGAGAAGUGGACUAUCGACCAACAAAAGCAUGCUAUUAAUGCAGAGUUCGAUUGCAAAAGAUAUUAUCAUUACUUGAGUCAGAGGAUGCUACUGCACGGAUAUAUGUGGUAAAAGUGGAAGGCAACUUAGCUGCAGAAGGAUUUCAACCUUCUUCACAGAGGUCAAUGCAAAAGACAUGAUCAGCGGAGGAGCCCUCUGGGAGCUAGUUCGUAUUUCGCAGGACUGUUCUAGGAAGGAUAUAAGGGCCCUUGCAUGCCAAACUCUGACCUCAAGUUCCACAUUUGAAUUCGUACUGCGACGCCUAAGGAUCGAGGCAGUAUCUCUGAUGCAAGUCAUUAUGGCCGUUGUAUUGCAUUUGGCGAUCUCAACAACCUUUUCUCCGGCACCAUGAGUGGCAUCACAUGCUGUCUCCGUUUCUCAUGCCAACUCAAUUCUGACCUCAGGAAACUGUCUGUCAACCUUAUCCCCUUUCGACUGCUUCAUUUCUUCAUGGUUGGAUUUGCACCUACCCUUAACCUCCAGAGGCUCCCAGCAGUACAUAGAUCUUUCUCACAGUACCCGAACUCACUCAGCAGAUGUUGGACACAAAGAACGUGAUGUGCGCUGCAGACCCAUGCCACGGGAGGUACUUGACUGCCUCAGCCAUGUUCCGUGGCAAGAUGAGCCCAAAGAAGUUGACGAGCAGAUGAUCAACAUGCAGAACAAGAACUUGUCCUAUUUUGUCGAGUGGAUCCCCCAACAACGUAAAGUCCAGUGUCUGUGACAUCCCUCCCACGGGUCUGAUAAUGCAAACUGAGGGUGAUUAUUCUAUUGGAUUGUGACAUUGUUCUGAUAUUUCUUCAACCGGAUUUCAACUAUGUCAUUCCAGACAGGAUGAAGUUGACAUUCUCUGUCUUUCCAUCGCCAAAGGCAGUAUCUCUGUUGCAAGUCAUUAAGGCCGUUGUAUUGAAGUUGGCGAUCUCAACGACCUUUUCUCCGCCACCAUGAGUGGCAUCACAUGCUGCAGAAAUCUCUUCGGCACGUCCAUAAGCAGAUCUGGUUUGAGUAAUCGAUGAUGGGAGGAAAUUGUGUCAAAGUAAGAUUGUAGUGUUGAUGAGGACAAGAAUGAUAGCUGUUCGAGAUGUGCUAUCUAGUGACCCAUACGUCGUUUUGAAACUUGGAAAGCAGAGAGUCCAAAGAGCUGAGGCGGACAGCAACUUGAAUCCCGUGUGGAACGAGGAACUGAUGCUCUCCGUUCCACAGAACUACGGUCCUAUCAAGCUGGAAGUUUAUGACUACGACACGUUCUCUGCGGGUGAUGUGAUGGGGGAGGUCGAGAUAGACAUUCAGUCGAUGAUAACUUUGCCACUGUGUUCGUGGAUGUUGAGAAGUUUGAGAACAUGCAGAUCGGGAGAUGGCUGAAGUCGCACGACAACGGGAUGUUGGAAGACAGCACGGUAAGGCCAUCCACAACGCUGUGCCUAUACCGUUCCUAAACCGUGCCUUAAACUACUAUUUGCAGGCCCCACUGUACUUUUUUACUCCAUUCCUUAACUAAGGCACGGAACCUGCAACCCUCCG